rnacentral:lncRNA from 10 species
GUCUUCCGCCUCAACUGUGGAGCCUCGCCGACCGUUAGUCCUCACAGACACCUCAGGGGCAACCGACGCAGCGCCACCUCAUCGUGUCCGCCAUCUUGGGGCGACGGCCAGAAGUCCAGGGCUAGGAGCCUCAGCCGGCGGACGCCAGGAAACAGGUCUAGGUUAAUAGCAGGUAAUUGUGACAAGUCCAGUGUGGGUUACUGGUCAUGAAGAAUCCAUUGUUGAUGACAUCCCAGAAGAGAACACUAAGUCUUAGCUUUCAUCUUACCCCUGAACUUCCCUUCCUCUGAAGCACUCAUUAGGUGAAUAAACAAUAUUCCCUAUACCUAUAGAGUGGAAUACCACCCAGCAUCCUCUCACAUACAAAGAAAGAACAAAUUGCUGAUAGACACAGAUGUCCAUCAAUCUCAAAAGUCGUCAUGAAACCUCUGGAAGAAUUGAGCUGGUCGACUAUGCAAACAGUUGUCAAGAGCCUAUAAAAUAUGCAGCAUAAAAUUUUUCCUUUGUAGUCAAACCUGAUUAUUCCUCUUAGAUACUGGGAACAGAAUUUCACAGUCGUCAGAGAAUAUACCUUUUGUAUUUUCGUAUUAAAUAUGUACUCCUAUUACUUAACAAUUGUAGUUUAACUCCUUUUUUAGGUAAAAUUCUAAUUUUUCUCUUCUGUUAAAAAUUUCCAGUUCCAACACGAAGAUAAU